rnacentral:rRNA from 1 species
AUUGAACGCUGGCGGCAGGCCUAACACAUGCAAGUCGAGCGCGCGGCGGACGGGUGAGUAAUGUCUGGGAAACUGCCUGAUGGAGGGGGAUAACUACUGUAAACGGUAGCUAAUACCCCCUACCCUCACAUGUGCCCCGAUGGGAUUAGCUAGUAGGUGGGGUAAUGGCUCACCUAGGCGACGAUCCCUAGCUGGUCUGAGAGGAUGACCAGCCACACUGGAACUGAGACACGGUCCAGACUCCUACGGGAGGCAGCAGUGGGGAAUAUUGCACAAUGGGCGCAAGCCUGAUGCAGCCAUGCCGCGUGUAUGAAGAAGGCCUUCGGGUUGUAAAGUACUUUCAGCGAGGAGGCGUUACUCGCAGAAGAAGCACCGGCUAACUCCGUGCCAGCAGCCGCGGUAAUAC